UACGAAGGGGGCUAGCGUUGCUCGGAAUCACUGGGCGUAAAGCGCUCGUAGGCGGAUUGUUAAGUCAGGGGUGAAAUCCUGGAGCUCAACUCCAGAACUGCCUUUGAUACUGAGGAUCUUGAGUCCGGGAGAGGUGAGUGGAACUGCGAGUGUAGAGGUGAAAUUCGUAGAUAUUCGCAAGAACACCAGUGGCGAAGGCGGCUCACUGGCCCGGUACUGACGCUGAGGCACGAAAGCGUGGGGAGCAAACAGG
rnacentral:rRNA from 1 species